rfam:Culex pipiens quinquefasciatus supercont3.82 genomic scaffold, whole genome shotgun sequence.
UGGCUUAAUGGUUACGGCUUCUGUCUCCCAAGCAGAAGGUUCAGGGAUCAAAUCCCGG